UACGGGGGGUGCGAGCGUUGUCCGGAAUCACUGGGCGUAAAGGGCGCGUAGGUGGUUUGAUAAGGGUGUGGUGAAAGUCCGGGGCUCAACUCCGGAUCUGCCGUGCCGACUGUCAAACUCGAGGGCUGUAGAGGCAGACGGAAUUCCGGGUGUAGCGGUGGAAUGCGUAGAGAUCCGGAGGAAGACCAGUGGCGAAGGCGGCUACCUGGACCGGUUCUGACGCUGAUGCGCGAAAGCGUGGGUAGCAAACAGG
rnacentral:rRNA from 1 species